rnacentral:rRNA from 1 species
GAUGAACGCUGGCGGCGUGCCUAAUACAUGCAAGUCGAGCGAAUGGAUUAAGAGCUUGCUCUUAUGAAGUUAGCGGCGGACGGGUGAGUAACACGUGGGUGAUCUGCCCUGCACUUCGGGAUAAGCCUGGGAAACUGGGUCUAAUACCGGAUAUGACCUCCUUGGGCAUCCUUGGAGGUGGAAAGUUUUUCGGUGAGGGAUGGGCCCGCGGCCUAUCAGCUUGUUGGUGAGGUAGUGGCUCACCAAGGCGACGACGGGUAGCCGGCCUGAGAGGGCGACCGGCCACACUGGGACUGAGACACGGCCCAGACUCCUACGGGAGGCAGCAGUGGGGAAUAUUGCGCAAUGGGCGAAAGCCUGACGCAGCAACGCCGCGUGCGGGAUGACGGCCUUCGGGUUGUAAACCGCUUUCAGCAGGGUAGAAGCCGCAAGGUGACGGUACCUGCAGAAUAAGCACCGGCUAACUACGUGCCAGCCGCCGCGGUAA